ensembl:lncRNA
GGAGUGGGCCGAGAUGAGUGGGCGAGCUCGCCGGCCUCGCUACCGACCUGCACAGCUUCUCCCGAUCGAGAGAGCCGGGGCUGGGCAGUUCCUUGCGCCGAGUGAGGCUGCAAUCCGGCGACUGCUCGGAGGUGGAGGCUCAGGGCGCACACUCGCCGCCGCGUGAUGUGCCGCGGGUCCGAACCUGCCCGCUGCACCCUUUGAGGGGCGCUCUCUCGGCGCUGCUAGGCUUCCUGGGCUCCGAGAAGGACCUCGGGGGAGAAAAGACUCGCGGAUGGGGUCGGGCUGGCUGCCGCGGUGAGGCGGGUUUGGUCUCCUAGAUUGGCGCCCACGCGCUUCCCUAUCGGGAGCCGCCUGCGGUUUGUCAAGCUGGACGUGCUGCCUCUGAUAACGCAAGUAAAGAAGCGUCUCCGGCGGCCUAGCGGCCCGGGCUGGGGCGACCCUUGCCCUCCCGGCAAGCAGGCGCACUGGGAGGUCCUAGAGAACCUACAGGGUAAAGGUAGGAAAUUUUGGCAGAAGAAUGCAGAUUCCCAUCUACCUAGAGAGAAAAGGGGGUAUGCAGUUUCCUUAAUUAUUAUUUAUUUUUUAUUUUUUUUACAUAAUAAGACCACUUCCUUUGAGAGUAAAAACAACUUGAAGGAAUAAGGUUGGGAAUCUGUGAUAGAGAAGAUCUUAAUUUAACAGAUGCUAAUGUGGUGUGUUCUGUCUGUUAUAUUAAAGACUUUUUUUUUUUUUGUCUUUUUUAACCUGGGUAAUUUUUCCAGCACAACUCAUAAACACAUUAGUUGGGAAUUGUUUUUAUUUUGCUACUUGAACCUGGUAAACAUUAUUAACGAUAAAGCAAUUAACUUAUAUUUUGUCUGUGAUAUGAUAAGUUAGACAUGAUAAGAUGUCUAUAUAAAUCAUCCAACUAGUUUUAACAUGAAUAUAUAAUUUUUGAUUGAAACAAGUUCUUGAUGUCAAAUCUUAAAGUGAGUGUAAGGAAAGGAGUUGGUAUUUUAUUAGUCUUCUCCUUUGUCCUAAAAUUAAUAGAAAUAUAAAAUAUGUUGCAUGUUUACAGAAAUCUUUUCCUUUUACAAUAUGUAGAUAUAUAAGUUGUAAUUAUUUGAAUCAUUAGAAUGUCUAAUUUUUGCUUGACAAUAUGCAAAUGUGCCAUUAAAUCUGUUUUUUAAGAUUUUUCCAGUUUAAUGUCUGAAUCCAAAUUCAUAAAGAGUUGGAAAAAUGAGAUGUCUGAGCUAUAGGAUUCACAGGGAUUUCAUAUGAAGCCUAUUUAAUCAGGAUAACACUGUUAUUAAUAUUCAUAAUGUCAGCUGGAACACAAAUGACAGACUAUGGGGCCUAAAAAUUUUACUUGGUGAAUUUAUUAAAAGUAGCUUAAAAAAUUAAUGGAAUUUAAGUAAAGUUGGUGAAUAUGAAAAUCUUGUGUUAGCAGAAAAAAAAAUCUCUAUUAGAACUUUCUUUAAGACCAUUUUGCAUUGAUGUCUUUUGACAGAUUUCAUUGGUACUUAAAGAAGAGAGAUGCAUGAAUGGUCAUUUAAGAGGAUUUAAACACAUUGGCACAUUAAUUUUUACAUGAAUAAUAAGUACUUUCCAAAAGCAAUUAACUUACAGUGUACAAGAUAUGAAUUGAAAAAUAAGACUGUGACAUCAAGGGCAAAGCAAAUGUGCUGUACAUUUUAAACUUAGUGGCAAGACUUUUUAAUAUUUUGGUUUAUUCUAUUUUUAUAGUUAGGAUAUGACUUAGAAUAUGGUUAUUUUAAUGCGUUUGAAAGCAUAUCAGAAGAGCAAUAAUGUUUCCUCCCUCCACAAAAGUAUUGGUAGUGUUAAACAUUAUCCACUGCGAGUAUUGCUUGCACUUGUUGGAGAAUUAAGCAUUUGUUGUGCUAUUGGUAAUAUUUGAGAAUAUUUGAGAAUCUCAGUUUAAUUUUAUAGUUAGUCAAAGGGAUGAUUCUCAUGGGGCUUAGUGAUUCAAAUACAUAUGUGUUAACACAGAUUUAUUGAUUAUAGUAUAACUUAAAUGUAUAACAAAUAAGCUUCUUAUAGAUAGUGUGAGAAGUUUAGUUAAGAACCAUCUGAGCAGUAUACAAGUCAAUUUGUUCUGAAUUUUAGCCUAAGGAAGUAAAAAGUUGGGAAUGGUAUUAAGUAAAAUCAGAAUGCAUUUUACUUUGUGUAUCACUUGUUACUUUUUAUGUUUUCAAAUGUGUUUAUAAUGAUAUUACACCAUUUUAUUUUUAUUAUCGAAGUUCAUUAAAAACAGCUGUAGACCAUCACGUACAGUUAUAAUAAUACAGUAUUUUGUUUUAUAUUUUUUCAGAGAUUAUUUUUCAUGCAAAUUCUAGUACAUAAAAAAGUACAUAAAAAAGCAUGAUUUAGUUACUAUCUGUAACAGUUCACUUAGGGUUUAAUGAUGAGAGAAUAUAAGCAGGUGCCUGGCAGUCCAGACAGGUACUAGAAGUUUCACUUGUAGUCUGUCAGUGUUAUAUGUGAAUGAUUUUGUUUCAUUAGAUGUAUAGAAAUUGCCUAGUAUGUUUUGGGACUCAGAGCUUGAUUAGAAAAAGCAUUAAUAACCAGAGUGUGUAGAAAUUAUCACAUAAGAUAUAAGUUAAUUUUUUUGUAUAAGGAAUAAAAUCAAAUUGAUAUAUUGGAUAUUACUAUUU